AACGAACGCUGGCGGCAUGCCUAACACAUGCAAGUCGAAUGAGCCCUUCGGGGUUAGUGGCGCACGGGUGCGUAACGCGUGGGAAUCUGCCCUUGGGUUCGGAAUAACAGUGAGAAAUUACUGCUAAUACCGGAUGAUGUCUUCGGACCAAAGAUUUAUCGCCCAAGGAUGAGCCCGCGUAGGAUUAGCUAGUUGGUGGGGUAAUGGCCUACCAAGGCGACGAUCCUUAGCUGGUCUGAGAGGAUGAUCAGCCACACUGGGACUGAGACACGGCCCAGACUCCUACGGGAGGCAGCAGUGGGGAAUAUUGGACAAUGGGCGAAAGCCUGAUCCAGCAAUGCCGCGUGAGUGAUGAAGGCCUUAGGGUUGUAAAGCUCUUUUACCCGGGAUGAUAAUGACAGUACCGGGAGAAUAAGCUCCGGCUAACUCCGUG
rnacentral:rRNA from 1 species